AAAAAAAAAAAAAAAAAACAAUUACAAUUCUUCUAAAAUUAACCACAUAGGGAUUACAAGUACUAGGAGUGAGUGAUGAUCCUCUUAAAAAUUUUCUGCCCUGGUGCAAGGAUGGCCAUGGGAUCAAAAUUGGCCUUGUUUUCCACAAAUCUUGACCAUUGAUUUCCAAAGUGCCGUUUCCAGUCCUCUUGAGAUUGGUAGUGAGGGAGAUAUAGUUUGAAAUCAAAACCCUUCUUCAAGCAAAGAUGGGCAAUCUCUUGGUUUUGUGCCACCAAUUUUUCAACACAAGGACCCUUUGAGUAUGGAGGAGUGAAUCGGAGCAAUGCCACUAUGUAGAAGAUUUCCCCAUCGGCUGGUAUCAUCACAGACGUGCGAUUAUCCCACUUGCUUCGCAGCAGUGGGUACAUCAGCAUGGGCCCACCCACGCCUUCCUUCAAUAGCCUCUUGAACACCAUACGAUCGAAAUCGGCAAUAUCCCUCUUUGAUAUA
rnacentral:misc_RNA from 1 species